rnacentral:snRNA from 1 species
GUGCUUGAGUGCUUGCACACACACUAACAUUGGAACGAUGCAAGAAGAUUAGCAUAGUCCUUACACAGGAAUGACACGCAAAUUUGUGACGUGCUCCAUAUUUUU